rnacentral:rRNA from 1 species
UACGGAGGAUCCAAGCGUUAUCCGGAUUUAUUGGGUUUAAAGGGUGCGUAGGCGGCUUAUUAAGUCAGGGGUGAAAGACGGUGGCUCAACCAUCGCAGUGCCUUUGAUACUGAUGAGCUUGAAUACACUAGAGGUAGGCGGAAUGUGACAAGUAGCGGUGAAAUGCAUAGAUAUGUCACAGAACACCAAUUGCGAAGGCAGCUUACUAUGGUGUCAUUGACGCUGAGGCACGAAAGCGUGGGGAUCAAACGG